AGAAAAGCAAAGAAAGUGUCAGUAGUCUGUUAUACUUUUUUCAGAGAGAAGAUGCCAUCGGCUGAAAGCAUCUUUAAGAUAAGGUAACAGAUGAAUUUCUCACUGGAGCUUCCGGAUUGAACAGAAUGGUAAGUAGGUCCGGACGGGGCAUACACGUUAAGUAUCUGAAUGAAGAGCCCGAUUUUUGGGAAUUAAGGUGGUAACGCGGAGAAUGCUUCGUCCUUUUU
rnacentral:ncRNA from 1 species